rnacentral:rRNA from 1 species
UACGUAGGGGGCAAGCGUUGUCCGGAAUCAUUGGGCGUAAAGAGCGUGUAGGCGGCUCGGUAAGUCCGCUGUGAAAGUCCAGGGCUCAACCCUGGAAUGCCGGUGGAAACUGUCGAGCUAGAAUCCGGAAGAGGCGAGUGGAAUUCCCGGUGUAGCGGUGAAAUGCGCAGAUAUCGGGAGGAACACCAAUGGCGAAGGCAGCACUCUGGGACGUGACUGACGCUGAGACGCGAAAGCGUGGGGAGCAAACAGG